rnacentral:rRNA from 1 species
GGUGCAAGCGUUGUCCGGAAUCACUGGGCGUAAAGGGCGCGUAGGCGGCCUGGUAAGUAGGGGGUGAAAUCCUGCGGCUUAACCGCAGGGCUGCCUUCUAAACUGUCAGGCUUGAGCACGGUAGAGGCAGAUGGAAUUCCCGGUGUAGCGGUGGAAUGCGUAGAGAUCGGGAAGAACAUCAGUGGCGAAGGCGGUCUGCUGGGCCGUUGCUGACGCUGAGGCGCGACAGCGUGGGGAGCAAACAGG